GAACCGUCGACAUGAGUUGUUGCUGGUCCCCAAAAGGGGGCAUGUGCACAUUCUGUCUACACAUCCACUCACACCUGUGCACUCUCUGUAGCUCUAUGGCCUUGGGGACUCUGUCCCCUUGCUGUGGUCCUACAUCUUUACACACACACCGUAUUACAGUCUCAUGGAAUGCAUGUCGCGUUUAACGCAAUACAAUACAACUUUCAGCAACGGAUCUCUUGGCUCUCGCAUCGAUGAAGAACGCAGCGAAAUGCGAUAAGUAAUGUGAAUUGCAGAAUUCAGUGAAUCAUCGAAUCUUUGAACGCACCUUGCGCCCUUUGGCCAUUCCGAAGGGCAUGCCUGUUUGAGUAUCAUGAACACCUCAACUCUCAUGGUCCGCCAUGAUGAGCUUGGACUUUGGGGGUCUUGCCGGCCUAACCGUUGGCUCCUCUCAAAUGAAUCAGCUUGCCAGUGUUUGGUGGCAUCACGGGUGUGAUAAAUAUCUACGCCUGCGCUCUUCCACCAGGUAACCUUCAGUGAUGGAGGUUCGCUGGAGCUCAC
rnacentral:rRNA from 1 species